ensembl:lncRNA
GUGAAUAAUAGGUUAAAUGUAUUUAAUUUGAACUCAAUUAAAAAUGAAAAAGAAAUUAAAGUUAACUAAAUCUAGUUGAAAAUGAUUAAGCCAUGUAUUGAUUAUCGGGGCUUGAACAAGAUCACGAUGAAGAAUCGCUACCCCUUGCCCUUAAUGUCCUCAGCAUUUGAACUCCUACAAGGGACAACUAUCUUCACCAAAUUGGACCUCCGUAACGCCUACCACCUGGUCCGGGUCAAGGAGGGAGACGAGUGGAAGACGGCCUUCAACACACCUACAGGUCAUUAUGAAUAUUUAGUUAUGCCAUUUGUUGUCCAAUGCACCAGCGGUUUUCCAGGGACUCAUUAACGAGGUUCUCAGAGAAAUGUUAAACCAUUUUGUGUUUGUCUAUUUGGAUGACAUUUUGAUUUUCAAAUCCCUUCAUGAACAUGUCCAUCAUGUCAGAGUCGUCCUCCAGCGCCUGCUUGAGAAUCAUCUCUUUGUAAAACCUGAAAAAUGUUCCACGUCUCUGAGGUGUCCUUUUUGGGCUUCAUCCUGUCCAAGGGGAGUCUUCUCACAGAUCCCAAGAAGACUCAAGUUGUUCGGGAUGGGCCCCAACCAUCCUCUGUCCAAGAGGUGCAACGGUUCAUCAGAAACUUCAGUUCUGUUGUCGGCCCUAUGACCGAUCUCACAAGGAAGAAGUCUGGCUCCUUUAAGUGGUCUCCAGCAGC